rnacentral:rRNA from 1 species
AACGAACGCUGGCGGCAGGCUUAACACAUGCAAGUCGAGCGCCCCGCAAGGGGAGCGGCAGACGGGUGAGUAACGCGUGGGAAUCUGCCCAUCUCUACGGAAUAACGCAUGGAAACGCCUGCUAAUACCGUAUACGUCCUUCGGGGCAAAGAUUUAUCGGAGAUGGAUGGGCCCGCGUUGGAUUAGCUAGUUGGUGGGGUAAAGGCCUACCAAGGGGACGAUCCAUAGCUGGUCUGAGAGGAUGAUCAGCCACACUGGGACUGAGACACGGCCCAGACUCCUACGGGAGGCAGCAGUGGGGAAUAUUGGACAAUGGGCGCAAGCCUGAUCCAGCCAUGCCGCGUGAGUGAUGAAGGCCCUAGGGUUGUAAAGCUCUUUCACCGGUGAAGAUAAUGACGGUAACCGGAGAAGAAGCCCCGGCUAACUUCGUGCCAGCCGCCGCCGUAAGAC